rnacentral:rRNA from 1 species
GGACCCGCACAAGCGGUGGAGCAUGUGGUUUAAUUCGAUGCAACGCGAAAAACCUUACCUACUCUUGACAUACUUGGGAGCUCUUGUAAUGAGAGUGUGCCUUAUGGAACCAAGAUACAGGUGCUGCAUGGCUGUCGUCAGCUCGUGUCGUGAGAUGUUCCGUUAAGUCGGAUAACGAGCGCAACCCUUACCCUUAUUUGCCAGCGAUUCGGUCGGGAACUAUAAGGGGACUGCCGGUGAUAAACCGGAGGAAGGUGAGGACGACGUCAAGUCAUCAUGGCCCUUACGAGUAGGGCUACACACGUGCUACAAUGCUACGGACAAAGAGCAGCAAGUUCGCGAGGACAAGCA